rnacentral:tRNA from 1 species
AAUGAUUUGGCAGAUUAGUGCAUUAAAUUUAGAAUUUAAUCAAGUAUUUUAAGUACAUUCAUUA